AGUUCCAUGACGUAAUGGUUAGCAUUCUGGUCUCUGAAUCCAGUGAUCUGAGUUCAUAUCUUGGUGAAACCU